rnacentral:lncRNA from 1 species
UCUCAGGGACAUUCUUCAAGGAGGCCCUGUCCAUUAUCAACAACCUAUCAGCCCACUGAGAUGCCUGAAACUCAUUUCGCUGAAUAUAAAAUAACCAUCAUCCUACCCUCCCCUUCAGCCAUACCUUCUGGUUCUGGAUUUACAGACAGCAUGCAGACUUCCCAGCCCCUAAAUGAGAAGAAAGCUGGGGUCGGUGGGGGUGGGGGUGGGGGGUAGCAACAGGCUGAAGCUUCCAAAAGAAAAGUAGUAUAGACAUGAGCAAGAGA